GAAUGGGUCUGGAGGACAAAGGGGGAAGAAGGGAACGAGAAAGACAGCGCUACAAACGAUUGAAGGGAAAAAGGGGAAAGAAGGGAACGAGAAAGAAGAGCGCAACGAACGAGUGCGGGGGAAAAAGGGGGAAGAAGGGAACGAGAAA